UCGCAAGACUGAAACUCAAAGGAAUUGACGGGGGCCCGCACAAGCGGUGGAACAUGUGGUUCAAUUCGACGCAACGCGAAGAACCUUACCUGGGCUUGAACCGCACAGGACCAGCCGUAGAAAUAUGGCCUUCCCGCAAGGGACCUGUGUAGAGGUGCUGCAUGGCUGUCGUCAGCUCGUGCCGUGAGGUGUUGGGUUAAGUCCCGCAACGAGCGCAACCCUUACACUUAGUUGCCACCCGCAAGGGGGAACUCUAAGUGGACUGCUCCGGAUAACGGAGAGGAAGGUGGGGAUGACGUCAAGUCAGCACGGCCUUUAUGUCCAGGGCUACACACGUGUUACAAUGCGCGGUACAAACCGUCGCGAACCUGCGAAGGGGAGCUAAUCGGAAAAAACCGCGCUCAGUCCGGAUUGCAGUCUGCAACUCGACUGCAUGAAGCUGGAAUCGCUAGUAAUGGCGUAUCAGAACGACGCCGUGAAUACGUUCCCGGGCCUUGUACACACCGCCCGUCACAUCACGAAAGUGAGUUGUACUAGAAGUCGCCGUGCUAACCGCAAGGAGGCAGGCGCCCAAGGUAUGACCCAUGAUUGGGGUG
rnacentral:rRNA from 1 species